UUGGCUGACGCAUAUCAUAUUUUUAGGACAUGAUUUUAUACUUAGUGAGCAUUUAUAUUACCAUUCAUAUUUUAUGUGUCCAUGAAUCAUUCAAGGGAUUAAUAAGAUGAUGAUAUAUAUUCUCAAAGAGUUGAGAAUUUGAGGUAUAUGUCAUUGACGAUUAAUUUCUAAAUUGCUCCUGGUUAUAAGAUCAUCAUGGAGAUGGUGAUUGAUCUAGA
rnacentral:lncRNA from 1 species